rnacentral:rRNA from 1 species
CCUACGGGAGGCAGCAGUGGGGAAUAUUGGACAAUGGGCGCAAGCCUGAUCCAGCCAUGCCGCGUGAGUGAUGAAGGCCCUAGGGUUGUAAAGCUCUUUCACCGGUGAAGAUAAUGACGGUAACCGGAGAAGAAGCCCCGGCUAACUUCGUGCCAGCAGCCGCGGUAAUACGAAGGGGGCUAGCGUUGUUCGGAUUUACUGGGCGUAAAGCGCACGUAGGCGGACUUUUAAGUCAGGGGUGAAAUCCCGGGGCUCAACCCCGGAACUGCCUUUGAUACUGGAAGUCUUGAGUAUGGUAGAGGUGAGUGGAAUUCCGAGUGUAGAGGUGAAAUUCGUAGAUAUUCGGAGGAACACCAGUGGCGAAGGCGGCUCACUGGACCAUUACUGACGCUGAGGUGCGAAAGCGUGGGGAGCAAACAGGAUUAGAUACCCGAGUAGUC